GCCACGAUGUCUAGGGGUUCUGAGAGGAAGGUCCCCCACACUGGUACUGAGACACGGACCAGACUCCUACGGGAGGCAGCAGUGAGGAAUAUUGGUCAAUGGACGCAAGUCUGAACCAGCCAUGUCGCGUGAAGGAAGACGGUUCUAUGGAUUGUAAACUUCUUUUAUACCGGAAUAAUGUGAGUCACGUGUGGCUUUUUGAAUGUACCGUAUGAAUAAGCACCGGCUAACUCCGUGCCAGCAGCCGCGGUAAUACGGAGGGUGCAAGCGUUAUCCGGAUUUAUUGGGUUUAAAGGGUGCGUAGGCGGACUAAUAAGUCAGUGGUGAAAUCCUGCAGCUUAACUGUAGAACUGCCAUUGAUACUGUUAGUCUUGAAUUUAGUUGAGGUAGGCGGAAUGUGUUGUGUAGCGGUGAAAUGCAUAGAUAUAACACAGAACACCGAUUGCGAAGGCAGCUUACUAAGCUAUAAUUGACGCUGAUGCACGAAAGCGUGGGUAGCGAACAGGAUUAGAUACCCUGGUAGUCCACGCCGUAAACGAUGAUUACUCGUUGUUGGCGAUACACAGUCAGCGACUGAGCGAAAGCAUUAAGUAAUCCACCUGGGGAGUACGUUGGCAACAAUGAAACUCAAAGGAAUUGACGGGGGCCCGCACAAGCGGAGGAACAUGUGGUUUAAUUCGAUGAUACGCGAGGAACCUUACCUGGACUUAAAUGUAGAUUGACAGACUUAGAGAUAGGUUUUUCUUCGGACAAUUUACAAGGUGCUGCAUGGUUGUCGUCAGCUCGUGCCGUGAGGUGUCGGGUUAAGUCCCAUAACGAGCGCAACCCCUAUUGUUAGUUACCAGCACGUGAAGGUGGGGACUCUAACAAGACUGCCGGUGUAAACCGUGAGGAAGGUGGGGAUGACGUCAAAUCAGCACGGCCCUUACGUCCAGGGCUACACACGUGUUACAAUGGUCGGUACAAAGGGCAGCUACCUGGCAACAGGAUGCUAAUCUCUAAAACCGGUCUCAGUUCGGAUCGGAGUCUGCAACUCGACUCCGUGAAGCUGGAUUCGCUAGUAAUCGCGCAUCAGCCAUGGCGCGGUGAAUACGUUCCCGGGCCUUGUACACACCGCCCGUCAAACCAUGGAAGCCGGGGGUACCUGAAGUCUGUUACCGCGAGGAGCGGC
rnacentral:rRNA from 1 species